rnacentral:tRNA from 1 species
GCCUUCUUAGCUCAGUGGUAGAGCGUUGGUCUCGUAUAAACGAAAGUAAACCAAAGGCCGAGAGUUCAAUCCUCUCAGGAGGCA